AUGUCACUGAAGCUUUGGCGCUUAGAUAACUCAGAUAACUUGGAGGCCAUCGAAACCAUGAAUAAUAGAGGACGGUUGGCAAGUAUAGCGGCAGCAGUAUUUGACGAUUGUUAUUUUUUGGCUUGUGAUUUUGCCAUCACUAGAUUCGAGCACUAUAAUAGGGAAGUCAAUAGGGUUGCACAUGAACUUGCUAAAGUAGCUAAAUUUUCUACAACUUUAAACUGGUUUGAGGAGCCUUUGAGCGAAAUUGUACCUCUCCUCAUAAACGAUGUACUUGUUAUUACAAAUGAAUAA
rnacentral:rRNA from 1 species